GAGGGUAUAGUUCAGUGGUAGAAUGCCUGCUUAGCAUGCAUGAUGUCCUGGUUUCAAUCCCCAGUACCUCCA
rfam:Camelus ferus unplaced genomic scaffold scaffold533, whole genome shotgun sequence.